UUUGACUUCUCUUCCAUCAAUCUUGCAUUGUAGGGGAUUCCAUUCGCGUCAUAUAAAAUAGGUACUUGAACCCCAGGAAAUACCAUGUUUGUUCCAUCGUGAUAAGUUAACUGUGGAUAGUAAGGCAUGGCAUAGCCUAACAUAGGAAAUACAACAUCAACAAAAGUGGACAAAAUGAUCUUCUUUGUUAGUGUGUAGUGUACAGUGUUAUGUUACCUUCGAGCUGCGGUUGCACAUUUGUCGUCGAUUGUGAUAUCAAAGUUGAAGAUGUCACAUGCUGUAUGAAGGCCUGACUAUCCUUGCCACCCUACAUGAGUUAAUAGAAAAGUGAGUACAACUAUGUUAUAAGGUUUCCAAACCUUUGAUAGAAGUCGAUGUUGCCUGCAAAAAUAAACGAAUAAUACUUGACGAGUCAUACGUAUGUAACAAAACAAUGAAACGGAAAUGUACCUUUGUUUUUUUCGAACGCGACUCCAAUGGGCUUUUCUUGCGGACUUUCUUUGGUGCGCCCUUCCUUUUUGGAACAUUUAGG
rnacentral:lncRNA from 1 species